rnacentral:rRNA from 1 species
AACGAGUUAUCUGAACCUUCGGGGAACGAUAACGGCGUCGAGCGGCGGACGGGUGAGUAAUGCCUAGGAAAUUGCCCUGAUGUGGGGGAUAACCAUUGGAAACGAUGGCUAAUACCGCAUGAUGCCUACGGGCCAAAGAGGGGGACCUUCGGGCCUCUCGCGUCAGGAUAUGCCUAGGUGGGAUUAGCUAGUUGGUGAGGUAAGGGCUCACCAAGGCGACGAUCCCUAGCUGGUCUGAGAGGAUGAUCAGCCACACUGGAACUGAGACACGGUCCAGACUCCUACGGGAGGCAGCAGUGGGGAAUAUUGCACAAUGGGCGCAAGCCUGAUGCAGCCAUGCCGCGUGUGUGAAGAAGGCCUUCGGGUUGUAAAGCACUUUCAGUCGUGAGGAAGGUAGUGUAGUUAAUAGCUGCAUUAUUUGACGUUAGCGACAGAAGAAGCACCGGCUAACUCCGUGCCAGCAGCCGCGGUAAUACGGAGGGUGCGAGCGUUAAUCGGAAUUACUGGGCGUAAAGCGCAUGCAGGUGGUUUGUUAAGUCAGAUGUGAAAGCCCGGGGCUCAACCUCGGAAUUGCAUUUGAAACUGGCAGACUAGAGUACUGUAGAGGGGGGUAGAAUUUCAGGUGUAGCGGUGAAAUGCGUAGAGAUCUGAAGGAAUACCGGUGGCGAAGGCGGCCCCCUGGACAGAUACUGACACUCAGAUGCGAAAGCGUGSGGAGCAAACAGGAUUAGAUACCCUGGUAGUCCACGCCGUAAACGAUGUCUACUUGGAGGUUGUGGCCUUGAGCCGUGGCUUUCGGAGCUAACGCGUUAAGUAGACCGCCUGGGGAGUACGGUCGCAAGAUUAAAACUCAAAUGAAUUGACGGGGGCCCGCACAAGCGGUGGAGCAUGUGGUUUAAUUCGAUGCAACGCGAAGAACCUUACCUACUCUUGACAUCCAGAGAACUUUCCAGAGAUGGAUUGGUGCCUUCGGGAACUCUGAGACAGGUGCUGCAUGGCUGUCGUCAGCUCGUGUUGUGAAAUGUUGGGUUAAGUCCCGCAACGAGCGCAACCCUUAUCCUUGUUUGCCAGCGAGUAAUGUCGGGAACUCCAGGGAGACUGCCGGUGAUAAACCGGAGGAAGGUGGGGACGACGUCAAGUCAUCAUGGCCCUUACGAGUAGGGCUACACACGUGCUACAAUGGCGCAUACAGAGGGCAGCCAACUUGCGAAAGUGAGCGAAUCCCAAAAAGUGCGUCGUAGUCCGGAUUGGAGUCUGCAACUCGACUCCAUGAAGUCGGAAUCGCUAGUAAUCGUGGAUCAGAAUGCCACGGUGAAUACGUUCCCGGGCCUUGUACACACCGCCCGUCACACCAUGGGAGUGGGCUGC